GCUUGACUCUAGUAUCAGGCCACAUUCAGCUGUGACCUGGGACGUGCCAUUAACAAAAGCACCUUUGAAAGCAAUUCUGCCGUAGCCUUCGUUCCUUGCUCUCCAGAGAGCUGACACCCCUUCACUGGGGUGCACGAGCAGAAUAGACAGUGAGACCGGGCCCUCCCAGAACAGAAUGAAGCUGACGAGUCUCCUGAGUGAUGGGAUUACACACACCUGAUAUUUAAAUACAGAAGUGCCACAAGGAAAACCACAGGAAUUGGCUGAAUUCCUAUAUAUACUUUGAGUGGUAAGCCUUUUCUUAUUGUUGCUUAAGAUCCAGGAACUGUAAGGCACACUGGUUAUUAAGAAGAACAGUUACACGGCAAAGGACAAUAGCAGGCCGGAUCUAGACAGCUAAGGAUAUGUGUAUCCAGAUUAGUGAUAAAUGCUUAUUUAGUGACAUGGCAGUUGGUGGCCUUAACAAGGGGCAUUUGGGGUGCCUGUGAGAGGUAGAAGUUUGACUACAAGGCCCUGAGGAUGAAUGGGAAGCAGGAAAGUAGAGACAGGGUGCCCUGCCCCCACCAGAGGUCGAUAAGGGAGAAGGAAACGAGGUUAGAUUGGGAGACUGGGCUCUGAGAAGACAGCUCACACAGGUCCAGCUUCUGGUAAACGUGGGGAAACGUGUUCCUACCUUUGCAGAAUUUUGAGAAAUGACAAAUAUCAUCCAGGUAAUUACUAAGAACGAUGUGAACGCUAGCAGCAUUUUCUGACACAUUAUAUUUGAGAACAUGGUCCGUGUCCUAGGAAAGAGCACAAGAGAAGGUACCAGGUGAGAAGGGUGGGAGAGCCUGGGCAUGCACGCUUUCAAGGGAACUUGUGAUUUGCCCUGAGACUUGGCCAUCUCCCAUGAGCUGCCUUCUUUUUCCUUGUCUUAGUGAACAACCCCUUUGUCUUCCUUGUUUACCUUGUCUUACUCAGGCUUUGUUCUGCAGGCUCUCUUCUUCAUCCUCAACCCUGAAAUGACAGUCAGAUGCCUCCCCUCCCCCCAUGUUCUCUCCCUGUAUUCGCUUCCUGUAGAAACACCCCACUUUCACUCACCACAAUCCCAAUGCAAAGCAGAAAAGUUAAUUAGCCUGCCAAUAUCUUUUUUUGGGGGUAGGGGAAGAUAGAAGAUCCUGAUGAGACCCUAAGCAUAGCUUAUGUUAUUAAAAUAAUCUAUAAAAUACCUUUAAACAAAAUGGGUUCUGUAGCGACUCUUGCUUUGCUGAACACCAAGUAUGAAUCUUGAGGUAGAAAUUAUUUUUGGGGGGAGUGGAAUCGAAACUACUCUGCAUAAAAGACAAAUUUAACAAGAUCAUGUGAAGAAAGGGGAAGAGAAGUGGCCAGAGGAGGUGCUGGGAGGGAAGCAGAGAGAAGUAAGACCAUUUACUACUCUGCAUAAAAGACAAAUUUAACAAGAUCAUGAGAA